rnacentral:lncRNA from 1 species
CCUACGUAAGUCCCAAGCAGCGCUCUCUCACCGUGUCCUGUUCCUCCACCGCAUCUCGUUUUUCACCUCCGCUCCCAACUCUGUUAUCCACGGCGCCCUUAUUCCCGUUUCCCACCGCGUCCUCCCUCUCUGUUCCUUCAUUGCACCCAGUUCUUCCAUGGCACCCCGUCCUCCACCGCGUCCUAUUCCUUCAUUAGGUCCCGUUCCCCAUCGCGCCCCUGUCCCCUGUUCCUAACGCAAUCCGUUCACAAGUGCAGCAUUAAAACUAUAAAAAUUGUAACAUCGCAAAAAAUAUGUACUGCAACAUCAAAAAAUAUGUACUGCAACAUCGUAAAAAUAUGUAGUGCAACAUCAAAAAAACAUGUACUGCAACAUCGAAAAAAUAUGUACUGCAACAUCAAAAAUUAUAUGCUGCA